rnacentral:lncRNA from 1 species
CUUCCUCCACAAGUCAAAUCCCCACAUUAACUUGGAUGAAAUGAUGAGUUCACAAAAUCCGGUAUGAAUAUUCAUGGUUUGGUUUAGUUUGUUUAAUGCAUCUAUACUCAAUAGUAUUUUUAUUAUUAUUUUAAUAGAUAUUAUUUAUAGUAUUCACGUCGUAGGAGGAUAGUGGGAACACAUCGGUGGAGCGCCUUGAUGAAUUCAAUCAUGUGAGAGCAAAACUUGAAUGUAUUCAAAUUUAAGAUUACUUUUUCUAUAAUAUGUUGGUAAAAUUGCCGUUUGAUGUAUUUGUAUUAGGAGGAAGAAGAAAAUAUUUUAGGAAAUGAUCCACGUCUUCCUUUAUUGCAAUCCUCACAGACAAUCUUAGACCAACCACAAUCACAAAAUGUAUGUUUU